UUAAUAUUCACCUACCCAACAUGGACGCGAAUGGUAACGGCAACUGGAAGUGCGAUUACGGAAACAGCAAAUGGGAGAAAAUGGAAACCGCAAAUGAUGUUAUGGAACUGGAAAUGCUAAAACGGAAACAGCAAAUGAUGUUAUGGGAACUCAAAGACUAAGGCUAUGAGAGCUCAGUGAUUUCGGGUACAUACAGGGACAAAUAGGAGGAGCAGAGAAAGAAAGAAAGAGUUGAACUUCUGAAACGGCGUAAAAAAUCCCCUGGUUUGGAGAAACAACUCUAUAAUGUAGCAAGGCACUUGGAGGAAGGUUUAUUUAAAGAAGCUACUACAAAGGUAUGAUAAUAUCUUAUGUAUUGAUAUGACAAGUCCAAGUGAGGUGCAAGCAAUUAUUGAAAUGCAAACUCAAGAUUUUCAGCCAAGUGAACAUGAUGCAGGUAUGAUAAUAUCUUAUGUAUUGAAGUCAUCUAAAGAAGAACCAAUAUAUGUGAAGAUAGAGUAGUCUGCUAGUCCACAACAAGGAUCUAGCCAAAAAUCUGGGGAAUUCAGGAAUGAUAUUUGUCAAAGUUUACAUGCUGAACAUGGGCAUAUACAAGGGAAAUAGGUCAAGGCAGAACUUGCAAUGCCUUAUAUUGGAAAUGUCCCUGUGUAAGUUAAGCGAGAAGUUGUGCAGGAUAAACAUGAAACUAUAAUUGGUAUCCCCCUCGCUGAUAAUUCAGCUUCAGAAAAAUUUGCUAAGCCAAAGAUUAAAGGUGUUUCUUUAACAGAGCUUUUCACCCCUAAGUAGAUAAGGGAACAUGUUUAAGGGCUGCGAUAGUGGGUUGGUAUUAGUAGGUCUGUAUGAGAGCUUGUUAGGAUGAUAUUUGCUUCCUAUUAAUUGGUGUAUAAUGUAAUUAUCUAGCCAUUAGUAUGAACUAUGAAGACAUCAUCAAGCAGAAAAUGCAAGCAUAUUAAUCUAUAUUUGUUAGAAAAAGUAGUAAAUUCAUUUU